rnacentral:lncRNA from 1 species
UACUGAGUGCCCAGCAGUGGCAGGAAAAGAAAAAUGGUGGCCACAAAUAUAAGCAGAAAAUUUGGACGAGAAGGUUAAGGAAAGCCCGUGUGUUGGUUUGAAUGAGAAUGUCCCCCGCAGGCUCUGUCAUUCUGCCCCAGUUGGUGUCGCUGUUCAUGAUGUGUAAAUGUAGUGUCGCUGAAGGAGGCAUGUAACUGAGGAAGCCACCUUGGAACAAGAUCGCCGAGGCAAAGAGUUUGAGGAAUGUAUCUCAUCUCUCAUCCCUUCUUCUCUGCCUGCUUCCUGGCUGCCAAGAGGUUCCCUCGGCUUUCUGUCCAUUCCUAAUUGUGACUGUUGCUUGCCGUCAUGCCUCUCUCCUCCAGCAUGGACUCUAACCCUCUAGAAACUUCAUAUUUCACCUCAGACUAUGAGGAGGAAACAACGAAGUCAUAGAGUCCGUCUGCCUUUCCUGAUUCCCCAGCUAUCAGCGGCACAAUUUUCACAUGAGGCUUUCUGAGCCCCUGAAAACCGCGCUGCUUCACGCCCGUCUCUUUGUGGAUUCCAUCUGGAGAGCCAACAUGAUCACUGCCUCUUCGUGGAGUGUCAGCCUCACAGUGUUUUACUGAUACAGAGAAACUCCUGUGAAUGGAAUAAAAGCCUCGAAAUCCAGAAUACUCACUCCCCAUGUGAGGCCACAGCACCAGAUCAUAGCAGCGACAGUGGUGGGCCGAGAGGGCGUGGUUACCGGGAAGGUCUGUUGAGUGUCUUAAAUACUCUUCCCUUAGAUGUCUUCAUACAUUUUAAGGGAGUGAGCUAGCAGCAGUUAUAUUUUUUAUUAUUUUUUUUGAGAUUAUAAUCACAUCAUUUCCCCCUUCCCUUUCCACCCUCUGAGCCUUCCCAUAUACCCCUCUUUGCUCACUUUCAAGAAAAUGGUCCCCCUUCCUCUAUUAACUGUCAUUUCAUGCAAAUAUGUUUAUGCAUAUAUAUUACUAAACAUACAAAUACAACCUG